ACGUACAAAGUGUACUUCAAUUACUUACGAGAGAAGAAUAACGCGUACAGAGAGUCACAUAUACUUUGACCCCGACUAGUCAAUACUGAAUCUUCACCCUGAAAUGAGGCAAGGAGGGCCAGUAACCAAGGAGACAAAAUAUUGACGUAGUUUCUUGUAUCUGGAACAAGAUGUCUGGUUGACUGCAAGAGGUCUUCUGCAUAGUUUCCAGAUAUUAGCUGUUAAUGGCUCUGCAGCAUUUUUCUCGAUGACUCUGUACUCUCCAUCACCAUGCUUCCUCAUUCCCAUCAGAGCUUCAUCAGUUCCAGCUUCCUCUCUCUUUUCUUGGCUCUUUUUCCUCCAGCAGAUGACAGCAACCACAACUCCAAUGACAAGCAGGAUUGCAAACAGGAUGCCAAGAUAUGCUCCCCAUGGCCACUUUUCCUCUUUUGCUGUCACUGCAGCAACAUCUGCUUCAGUUGUAGGUGAUGGAACAGGCAGGUUGAUGGGCUUGCAGCCAUAGACCUCAACACGCAUGUAAAUGCGUUUGUUCCAAUUUUGAGGCAGAAAUCGGAUAAACCGAGACUGCACAGAUGGUGCAAAGUCGUUUCUCACAGCAGUUUCUGCAUCAUUAUUACCAUUGAAAACCUAUCAUAAACAAAAUAUUAUUUAGUAAUGGUUUGCACCUAGGAGCUGUAAUGUUCUAUGUACUCCAUUGGGACCUAUAUAAGCAAAACGAACUAUGGGAGAUGGAUUCGACCAUAUAAUCUUAAAAAUAUUGCUAAUUGUCAGGAAUAACAAGAUAAUAUUGUUUUAAAACUGGUGUAAUUAUGACUUGUAUAACUAACAUCCACUGUGGACAAUGAGUUUGUGGCAGGUAUAUCAACUUGCAAUAAUUAUUUAUCCAAUGAAUAUCAAAAUCCAUCCUUUUAAACAUCUAGGACAAGUUAUACUGUAGAGGUAACACUACCUGUAUUCCAAAUUUCCCAAACAGUUUACAUUAAUAUAGGGUAUUAACAGGAAACAAUUAUGCAUUAGGGUGUGAUUUGUCAAGGAAGGGAAAGGUUUUAAACUAAGUUAAUGUUAGCUUUAUCAUCCAUCAAAGGUGUGACAGUUUGGUUGCAUUUAUUGUGCUUCAUCUUUCUUCUUUGGCUUAAAAGUUUCCAAACCAGUUUUCUCCUGUUUCAGAGUAUGGUAUUUGAGGUCAUCAGACAAGGGAAUCAAAAUUUAAUUUAAACAGGUCUGUAUAUUUUUGCACUAAGGAAGAAUUUGAACAUAAAUGCAUCAUUUUAGUGUAUAGCAUUAUACCUUUGAUUUGUUAUUUUCAGUGUAUUCAUGCCACACAAUUCCAUCUUUGCUCAUAUUAAGCUUGUAUUCUGUCACAUAAAAAUAUUCUUCAGAGGAUACUCCUUGUGUGGCCACACCUGUUAUGUUGACCUCACUCUCAAAGUCAAUCUGCAAGUACUCCGUCUUCUUGAAAUACUUAGCAUGCCAGCCCCGCCCUCCUUCUGCAUUCAGUCUGGCUUCAGAUGGCUCAUGAUGUUUGAAGAAUGUUGAUGCUGUAAUUUGCUUGUUCUUGAUUUGACCAUUUUCCAUGCCUAGAGGUUGAUGGCAUGGUUGAUGAAGAAUAUUCAAUGACUGUGGAGAAACUGUCAAGUUUCCUACGUGACCUUUAUCUACUGCCUCUUGAAGAAAUUUUACAGGAUUGUAAUCAGCUUUGUCAUUGAAGCUCACAUCAAACUCUGCAAUGACACUGCCUUUCUUUAGGUUGGUUACCUCAACACUCUCGAAUGAUGGAUCAGAGCGGAACUCAAAUUGGAUUGCUUUCUCAAUGACUGCCUUUGUCUCUUGGUAUUUCAUGCUCCCUUCCUCUUUAAGUUCUUCACUCCAAGAAAGAGAAGCAAAUCUAAGAGACAAUUCAAAUUUGCUCUUUACAUCAAUAGUUAUGCAUGCUUUAGAAUCAUCAGUUCCCUUGUUUUCAGUGGUUUUACCUUCAGGACACUUUUUACAGUACUCCUGGCUGGUCUGUUCUUGAUACUCCCCAGAUGGACACUUUUUGCACAGCUUUUGGCCUGGCUGAUCUUGGUACUCCCCUGUAGAACAAUUUUUGCACUGCCCUUGGCCUGUCUGAUCUUGGUACUUUCCUGUAGCACAUUUUUUGCACUGCUCUUGGCCUGAUAGAUCUUGGUACUCCC